rnacentral:rRNA from 1 species
UUUUGAUCCUGCCAGUAUUAUAUGCUUUGGUUAGUCGGUACAAGGAUAACUUUGUGAAUGAUGAAGCUAAUACUUGAGACGAUCCGGGGAGUAGUUAUACUUUCUGGCCCCUGGCCGCGAGGUCGGAGAGAAACGACAUUCUUUUGUGAAAAAGGAUGCCGUGACAAUUGAAGAAAGCGACGCUUUUCACAAGUAACCAAUGGGAAUUUCUGAUCUAUCAAUUUGUUGGUAGUCAUCGAGGACUACCAAGAUUAUAACGGAUAACGAGGAAUUGGGGUUCGACAUCGGAGAGGGAGCUUUACAGAUGGCUACCCACUUCUAAGGAAGGCAGCAGGCGCGUAAAUUACCCCACUUUCCACCCGAAGAGGUAGUGACGAAUUUUUUAUUCUUGGGGGCCCUCGGGGUGCCUUUUAGGGAUAAGUAAUGAAAAGAAAAUUCUCAAAACAAAUCAUGGGGGGGGGGCAAUUCGGGGCCCACCCCCCCC